rnacentral:lncRNA from 1 species
ACUGUCCUGGGGAUUUUUUCUUGUCCAAAGGCACAUAUAUAUUUGUGUGUACCUGUGUGUGUACACCCACGUAUAUGCAUGGAUAUGUAUCAUACAAUAUAUGUACAUAUAUCAAGGUCUUUACCUAUAUCUAUUACUGUGCAUAUAUGUGUAUGUAUGUAUCUAUAUCUAUCACUUCUACCAACCCAUCAGCCAGAACUGUUUUCAUAUGCUAGGUUUUACUGUAUGGAGCUUAAAACCCAUUUAUGCCUCAGGUUGCAAUUUUUUGAAUUUUCACGAUCAGACCUUGGUGAUGGCUUUGAGCGGUAGGAUAUAAAUAAUUCCCACAUACUUAGUGUUCCAAUAAUGGAACACUAGGCAUAUUACUACGGGGCUUAUACCACUGAUAGUGAAAAUCUUGACAGUUCUUCUCUUCCCUUUCCAUCAUGUCCACAUGCAUCUGGCCACCAAGUCCUCCCCAUCCCUGCUCUAGUGCUACUGCCUUAGGGCAGGCCACCUUCAGCACUUUUCUGCAUGGUAGCAAGAAGCUGAUAAGAGGGAAGGGGUGCCACAUGGUUUAGCCUGUUACCCAUUACCAACUUGUACUGCACUCAAAGUAUCUGUGGAACAACUCAGAUUUGUUGCCUCCCUGCUUGACGGCGUGUUUGAUGCCCUCAGAAAAACACUUCCACUCCUCAGUAGAGCAUCACAGCCCUCUGCUGUAUGACACCCGACCUUUCUACACUUUUCUCUCUGCACCAAGCUGUGGGAGUUUGCUCUCUUAAACUCCCACGUUCCAACCUCAGCCAAGCUCUCCGGGCAGCCACACUUCCCUUUGCCAGCUGUGACCACCAAUACUGCCACCAGGGGGGUCUGCAGGACCUGCAGGGCCACACUCAUUGGCACCUCGGUGACUUCACUUACUCUGGUCACCCUGCUGUCUCUCCCAGGCCUCCUCCCUCACAGACCUUCUAGGGAAAGGUUCUCUAUCAUGGUCAACUUUGAGCCGUGUAUAUUGGCCACAGGCAUCCCUCCUUCUAUUAGGGCGCCAUACUGCUCACUUAUUAUUGCCUAAAACCUGCUCCCUUGUAGGCUUUCUUUACAGGGCUCUAGCGGAUUCUUAGAGAUAGUAGACAGCUCACUGGUAACCACAGUUCAAAUGCAAACCAACCAAUUCACAGCCACACCCUCACCACUGGCUUUAUUGGGCUCGAACUCCAGGCCACACCCACCUACCCUAAUCACCCCAUAGCCAUGGGUCAGACACCUAAAGACAACCCCUGUGUCCCAGAGCCCAUGGAAAUGACCCAAGCCAGCCAAUCCUAAGCCUGCUUACCCUGCCUGGCCCCUUCUUUCCUGUGAAAAUCACAAUAAAAACAUUUUUUAAAAAAAUUUAAGUUCCAGGGUACAUGUGCAGGAUGUGCAGGUUUGUUACAUAGGUAAACCUGUGCCAUGGUGGUUUGCUGCACCUAUCAACCCAUCGCCUAGGUAUUAAGCCCAACAUCCAUUAGCUAUUCUUCCUGAUGCUCUCCCUCCCCCAACCCCACUCCUCACAAGCCCCAGUGUGUGUUGUUUCCCUCCCUGUGUCCAUGUGUUCUCAUUGUUCAGCUCCCACUUACAAGUGACACCAUGCGGUAUUUGGUUUUCUGUUCCUGUGUUAGUUUGCUGAGGAUAAUAGCUUCCAGCUCAAAACUCUUGACAGUUCUCCCCCUCUCCCUCUGCCUCCUGCCCAACCCUGGGGCUUUCCCAGGUAACUCCCUGUGGCAUGUGGAGUCCCCAUGGAUCUGAGGAGAAAGAACUAACAGAGAUGCAGAAGUCCUCUUCUACUCGGGCUGGGGAUAUGCAUGAGAAAGACACGCGUGGAUGCCGUAUGAGCUCUCGUUCUGAAUGCGGAAAUCUGACCUCCCACCGGAUACUCAGUUCAGGGGGCUCCUGGACCCUCCAGCUGCUCCUCUACUCAUCGCUCCCUCACUCAGAAAACCAGCAGAGAAGUGAACUUCCUCAAAUGACUGACGGUAAAUAUCCAGCAUGGAGCUGGAUUACAAAACUGUAUAAACUGUAAAUAGCAUCACGCUAUUCCCUUUUAAAGAAGUGUCAGUGCUUUUAUUCAUUAAGAUUCAGAUGCUAUGGAGGGGGCAGAUGCGCCUUCUCCCCUCCUGGAUCCCAAAUAAAACACCCCGUAUGGAAGCAGAUGGCUUUGUGUAAAUCAGAUGACAGUUUACGGAGUGAGACGGCCUCAUCGGAACGGCAUUACAAAGGGAGCCCCAGGUAAUGCAUGAGAAAGGAAGUGUUAUAAGAAGCCAAGAAUGGGUGCCCCCCACCCCCCAACCAAGAGCCAGUUCUGUUAACACAGCAGAGAGCCCUCCCCAGGUCUCAAAGUCUCCCUGCCUUUGCUGCCACAGAAUGAUUUCCAUUAGCUCGCUUGCAGAUUAGCAGCCUAAUCUCCUAACAAGAGCUCUUCGAUCAAAUGGUCUGGAGUGGCCACAUGUCUUGCUGCUGCCAAGUGACUGAUUUAAGAGAUGGACAAAAAGGAGACACACAGAAGUCGAGAUAGCAUGAUUAAUGGUCGAUCCAACUUUCUCUGAACCGCAUAUCAUGACUGAAUGGGAAACCCUGAAGAGAUUAAAGGGGGGAAUUACAUUACCAUGAAUAAUAUAAAAAAGUGAUAUUCUGUCUAAAAACCUUUUGAGUGCAAGUGACUCGAACAAAUAUAUUAACAGAGCUUACAGCAGAUUCAAUCAGGUUGAACGCUCCCCAGAAUUUAUUUUGAAAUAAGCUUUAUAUAUCUGAGACGUGAAGAAUGAAUCUAUUCGUGGCUGGCAGGAAAGCUAUUAACAUGCAGAUUUUAAUUCUGCCUUUGAUUCUACAGAGGUUCUAUUGUCCCUCCUUUACGACCGGCAAUCUCUCCCAAUUACGGAUGUAGUACACCUCCACAAAUCUCAAUACCACAGUGACACUCUAGAGAGCUGAGAUUUAUUUUCCUCACUUUAUUCUAACUUCUAAAAAUAAGUUCAAAUAUUUAUUAUCAAGGCACCGAUAAAAGUAUGAUGUUUAAAAGCAUGAAUUAUAUUACACCAACCCAUCCAUCUGUUGGAAAUGCCAGUUUGGGGCUAUAUUUGGGGGGCAAAACUUGGCAGUUAAGAUAGAAACCUUCUUUACAAAAACUAGGUGCACAUUAACUUACAAUUAAGCCUUGAUGUUAAUGAGGUUACAGCAUGUGACCAGUUAACGGGCUGCAGCCAAAAGGCAAAUAUUGAAAUGAAGGCGUUUAUUUUCAAACCAACAAACCUGAACUAAACCAUUACACUAAGUCCCAUUAGCAUUCUAGUUAUUGGGCAAAAUAAUUUCAUCUCCAAAAUUAAUUAAAUAAAUUGGAAUGACCUGGAAUCACUUCUGUGGCAGGCGGAUGGAACAAUACUGCAUGAAAGGCAAAAUCAUUUAGAGUCAACCGGCCCAUCAGUUCCUUGAGAGAUGAUGUUUAAAUUGAUGGGAAGUGAAAGUUAAAAAUAUGAUUCAUCCAAUGAGGCAGUGAUGUACUGUUAAAAUGUUUGCAAAACAAUUUUAAAAAUAAACCUUACUUAAAAAAAUGUCUCCCCCUAAAUUCAGGGAUAGGAUGUCUUUAGAUUAAAAUAAUAUGUUAACAUGUUCAUCACUUAGAAAAUUCGGAUUCUGCUCUGCGUGAGUCACAUUUAUUUUCUAAGCAAUCUGGAUUUUUUUUUUCUUUAGGAACAAAAAUUAAUAAAAUACAUGACUGUUGAAUGCAAUUAAUGGGAUCCAAGGGCUACUGCCAAGUUUUUGAAGAGAAUCAACAGCAGAGUCUUAGCUCAAAUCAUAUCCACAUCAGUACUACGGAUUAAAUGUUUGCGUCCUCGCAAAAUUCGUAAUUUUUUUUUUUUUUUUUUUUUUUUUUGAGACAGUCUUGCUCUGUCACCCAGGCUGGAGUGCAGUGGUGUGAUCUCAGCUCACUGCAACCUCCACCUCCUGGGUUCAAGUGAUUCUCCUGCCUCAGCCUCUGGAGUACCUGAGAUUACAGGCAUUCACCACCACACCCGGCUAAUUUUUAAAAUGUUUUUAGAAAAGACGGGGUUUCACCACAUUGGCCAGGCUGGUCUCGAACUCCUGACCUCAAGUGAUCUGCCCAUCUCAGCCUCCCAAAGUGCUGGGAUUACAGGUGUGAGCCACCACGCCCAGCCAUAUGUUGAAAUUUAAUCACCAAUAUAAUAUAUUAGGAGGUAGGGCCUUUGGGAGGUGAUUAGGUCAUUGAGGCAAAGCCUUCAUGAAUGGGUUAAGGGCUUAAAAGAGGCCAGAUAGAGAGACCCUUUGCCCCUCCCACGAUAUGAGGACAUAGCAAGGAGGUGAACAUCUAGGAACCAGAAAGUGGGCCGUUGCCAAACACUCAAUCUGCCAGCAGCUUGAUCUUGGACUUCCCAGCCUCAAGAACUAUGAGAAAUAGAUUUCAGGUGUUUAUAAGCCACCUAGUUUAUGAUAUUUUGUUAUAGUAGCCAGGACAGACUAAAGCACAAGGCUCUCUCUGGUAACACACGUCAGUAACUUAUCUCUUUAGAUGGAGC